GGGCCGGGCGGGGCUUGCGGGCCUUUGUUCCACGCGCGGCGGCGCCCAGGGCGGCUGGGGAGCGAGCUCUGCCGCCCAUGAACGGCAGCCAAGCGCUCCGAGACGCCUCUGGGCCAAACGUGCGGAAAUGGAUGCCAGGGGAUGUUUAGGGCCUGCCUCCUUUGCCUCCCCCGUUUCUCCUUAGCAUGGGGGGGAGGGGUUGCUUUGAAACCCGGAAGCACUUCAUGGCCCGCCGGAACACACCGCGGGUCACGUGGGGGCGGUGCCUGGCCGGCGCGUGACCCGGCGUCCGUUCCGCAGGUCUCCGGCCCGGGGUCACCCAGCAUGCUGCGUGCACGUGGCAGCUGAUGUCCUAAAUAGGAGCGAGCGGUCGUGGGCUGCUCUCCUGGGAGGGUGGAGCUGAGCUGCCAGCACAGAGCAACCCGCCCAAGGCCGGAGCUGACCAGCAGCACACUGAGAGCAACUGCGCUACGCCGGGGGCAAAGAACGGAGGCUGUGUACGCCACAGGGCUGUCUGUCUGUCUCUUCCUUUGCAGACCCAGGACUGGGAGACCGGGCAGAGACACAGUGAUUUCAGGCUGCAGAUGUUCAAGUCCGGGUUACUGGCUCCACUACUGCUUUAAGAGCUUGAGGGUCUCAUGUAACCCUAUGGAGCUGAAGAUGACCUUGAACUUCUGGGCCUCCUGCCUAUACCUAGAAUUACUAGUGUAUGCUACAAUGCUUUUAUGUGGUACUGGAGGCUGAACUAGACAAGCACUCUAUCAACUGAGCUACAGCCCCAGCCUGGAGGACAAUAUCUUAUAAGCCGUUUCUUGAUCAGGACACCAUCUCUUUGCCACUGCUGAGGAAGACGUGAGCAGCAGCCCGAUCAGGAGACCGUGUCAUCUUAAGCACUACAGCGCAGGCAUAGCCACUGAGCUAAGGCCUCUCACGUGCUUAGCUGCUUCAGCACACGGCAUGGACCAGGUGCAGAGCUUCCACAGUUGCCGGGUCUGCUGACAGCCUGGCUGUGCUAAGAGGAAGGAGCAUGAUGCUGGACCUGAGGGACACUGGUAAAUCGUGAUCCCUUUCAAGGCUUCUACCUGGACCACCCCUCUCCUCAGUCCUGGGGCUGCCUCUACCUUCAGGGUGCCUGAGAAGCCUGUCCUCAGAUAAUCACUCUCACUCUGCCAGGGACGCCAGGUACUCGCCGCACCAAAGAAAUCAAAACCCAGGCUGAGGUAUCAGAAACAUGUUCUUUUUUUUUUCUUUUAAUAGUAAACCUCUUUACAACAAAUAUAGUGAAAGAGUUUUCAAACCAAA